UCCAAGCAACAUCUGCUCCUGUGAGCACACUUAAUGCUUGAGAGAUCCAGGACCCUGACAUGGACAAAGCUGCAUUUUUUUCCCUUUAUUCCAACCCUGGAACAUGGCAUUCUGUACAGCAGGCCUUGCACAGGAACAGCCCUUCACCCCACAGCCAGGGAGAUCAGCAGAAGGGAGCAGAACAACAACUGCAGGUAAAGUAAACCCAUCUUUCAUCGCAGAUGAAAAGCAUCAGGUUACUCGUCGAGGUUCAGCUCCAUCCCAAGGAGCAGGAGUGCUCCUGAAUAAUGCCCUUUCCAAGGUCUUGCCUACCAUCCCUGCUAUGCCAGAAGUGAGAGAACAAAAUGUCCUUUACAGCUGAGCCUGCGUUAAAGAUGGAGAUGGGAAGACAUGCCUCAAUACAGAAUAUUCCUUUAGGAAAUCCAGAUAUCGGAUAGUGAAUCAGCUGGGGGGUUUUUGUUGGGUUUUGGGUUGUUUUUUUUUAAUAAACAGUACUGUUAUCUGAUUUAUCUUAUUUGGCCUGCUCCUGGAUACUUUAUGAAGUGCCCAAAUGACUUAUUCUUCUAAAGUUAAACUGAAAGUUGUGGGUUUUGGGUUUUUUUUGUGGUUUUUGCUCAGUGCCAUGUACAGAUUAUGCUGACAUAGAGAACACCUUAAUGUGAGUUACUGGAGGAUUACAUCUUCCCUGUUCCACAGUUCCCCUUAACUUCAGCCCAGGAACUCCCUGUAACCCAGUGAAAUCCCACAGAUAUGAUUUCACUGCAAAUAAGAUGAAAA